GGCGCCGGGCGCGCGGGCCGGGCGCAUUUCCGGCGCGGGGGGUGUGUCCCGAUGGCUGCUGGGGGCCCUCGGCGCCCUCCUCGCCGCCGCCCGCCGCCCCGCGCCGCCCGCGGGCCUUUGGCCGGAGGGGGCAACCUUUGGGCUCUGGAAAGUACCUUUGGAAGUUUGGGCCCUGUGAAGGGAAGUCAGCCUGGUAGAAGCUGAAGGAAGUUUCAAGCCGCGGUUCUGUGUGUUCUUUCCUCAGCACUUGUGCGCCCGCGGACGAUCGUGCCGAGUCUGAGGCAAAAAAGAGGAGGACAGGUAUCACAUGGGUGGAUGUUUGCUGCCCAGAGCCAUCUCAGGGCGAUGUUGUGACCAGGGGCUCCCCACCAGCAGAAGAUACUCUGCAACAGGAUGGACCUGGUGAGGCCAAAAAGUCACCUGCCUGUGAGGUGGAAGAAAAGAAACCGCCAAGGCUGCAGAAAAGAGCAGAAGGCUUUACUCCACUCACAGAGGUACCGUAGCUGACAGGCUGUUAGACAAAACUGAAGGCUGUGAAACAGCUGCAAGGAACUCCAUUUGUUACAGGUGGUUCUUCAGGCUUUUUGAAAUCUGAAGAACUUGCAUUUAAGCUGUUAGGGAGUGUCUGCAGCUGUGACUUCCCAGUGCAAAGGUCAGCACUAAAGCUGGUUUGAAGGAUUUCAAGGAUUUAAGCAUCUUAGGCUCCACACACUCCUUGAGUUGUGCUCUAACCUAAGGGUUGGUGGGGCUUCUGUUACUUGGACAAAAAUGAGUCCAGGUUUAACAGCAGUCUCCCAGAGCAGCGCUGACCUGAUUCCUACAGUUAUAUGGGAUCUGCCUCUCAACCUGUCCUAGCAUGAAGAUAGAACUUGAAAUAGA